GUUACUGCUAUCGGUGUUCGCCUAAGCCAUGCGAGUCAUAUGUUCUUCGGAACAUGGCGUACUGCUCAGUAACACGUGGAUAACCUGCCCUUGGGUCCGGCAUAACCCCGGGAAACUGGGGAUAAUUCCGGAUAACGCAUAUAUGCUGGAAUGCUUUCUGCGUAAAAUGGAUUCGUCUGCCCAAGGAUGGGUCUGCGGCCUAUCAGGUAGUAGUGGGUGUAAUGUACCUACUAGCCGACGACGGGUACGGGUUGUGAGAGCAAGAGCCCGGAGAUGGAUUCUGAGACAUGAAUCCAGGCCCUACGGGGCGCAGCAGGCGCGAAAACUUUACAAUGCGGGAAACCGUGAUAAGGGGACACCGAGUGCCAGCAUCAUAUGCUGGCUGUCCGGGUGUGUAAAAUACACCCGUUAGCAAGGGCCGGGCAAGACCGGUGCCAGCCGCCGCGGUAACACCGGCGGCCCGAGUGGUGAUCGUGAUUAUUGGGUCUAAAGGGUCCGUAGCCGGUUUGGUCAGUCCUCCGGGAAAUCUGAUAGCUCAACUAUUAGGCUUUCGGGGGAUACUGCCAGGCUUGGAACCGGGAGAGGUAAGAGGUACUACAGGGGUAGGAGUGAAAUCUUGUAAUCCCUGUGGGACCACCUGUGGCGAAGGCGUCUUACCAGAACGGGUUCGACGGUGAGGGACGAAAGCUGGGGGCACGAACCGGAUUAGAUACCCGGGUAGUCCCAGCCGUAAACGAUGUUCGCUAGGUGUCAGGCAUGGCGCGGCCGUGUCUGGUGCCGCAGGGAAGCCGUGAAGCGAGCCACCUGGGAAGUACGGCCGCAAGGCUGAAACUUAA
rnacentral:rRNA from 1 species